rnacentral:lncRNA from 1 species
GCUUCUGCAUUUUCAUACCAAAUUAGGUCAUGAAUCAAUUCUAUUCUAUAUCUGAUUAUGAUUUAUGAAUUGGGAUAUGCUUACUCUCUGCUCCGCCAAGUUGGUUCACUGCUUCAAUGAAGCGUUCGUGCAGGUCCGGAGUCCAUUUCAGCCUCGGCUUAGCAUCCGUGGAGAGUACAAGCCCUGAAUCCUCGCCUCCGCCUUGAAGGUACAACUGCCUCUCCGACAUUCUUGUCGAAGCUUGCAUGCUCUUCCCUUGCUGCUGAUACAUUCUGUUUCCAAAUAUAGAAACCGAUGUGAACUAUGUUGCUGCUCUAUUCUGCAUAAUCUAUAAUGUUACACUCCUUCCUCAACUAGCUGUUGUUGUAUGUUACUCCUUUUCUUUUCUUUUUUUACGUAUGGAAGUUGGGUGCAGGGAUGUCUUAAUAUAAACAUAUCAAGAGAGAGAGUGAGGGAGAGGGGAAAAGGUGGGAGUGAAACACAAGUGAAGAAUAGAAUCUUGAACAGGGCCAGAGCACAAGAGAGAGAAGAUUCAAUUCCAAUUCUCAGACAGCUGCACCAGCCAUGUAAGAAUCCCUCUUCACAUAUGACUUUGUUGAAAAAUUUAACACCUUACAAACAGGUGCAGGAAUAGAUCCCACACUCAUAUAAAUUUUCUCUGUGAUUAUGCGAACCUUAUUCCUGGAAUUAAUGGGUGGAAUAUAUAUUUUUCUCCCCCCAACCCCCCUAUUUGAUGUGAAUUGAAGGAAUCCACUAUCUAUGAUAUUAUGUCCCCAAACAAGUUCAUUUUUUUCCUCAUUGCCAAGAUUCUGUUGACUGAGGCAUCAAUGUUAAUCUUGAUAAUAUUGGAAAACCAAACCUCUAUAUAUCAGAUGAUGAAUCACCUCAUUUACUUGAUUUGUGGAGGGGGUGGGGUCAAUGGUAUCUAUUCUCUUGAAAAAAAUUGAUUCCCAAUGUUGCCAUAGUUUUGCUUAUUUGUUAGAACAUAUCCAUCCAAUCUUGAUCAUAUAUAUGGCAUCAAGAAGUUGGCCCAAACUUAUAGGGACCCCUCAAAAAAAGAAACUACGUACCUAGAGAGAACUUAGUCCUCUUUUUUCUGCCCCUACUCGUAGACGUGUUAUAGCUAAAUCUCAUUCUUAUUUAAUCGUUUGAUUAUUGCACUACUGCUUGGAGCUUCUGUACUUUGACAUUGAUUUAGAGACAUACAUAUUAAUCUAUCUAAUCAAUGCAAUACCAUCCACAUCAAUGCUGAUAAUGGCAUUUAAGCCCCAAUAUCUGGUAAUGUAAAAAUAUUGCCAAAACUAAACCCAUAAAUCUUGCUAAAAAAUAUGUACCAUCUGAUGCAAAAGGAAAUAAUAUUCUGAGCAUUAAGCUUUUUAGGAAAGAUCAUUUGAUUCUGAUAUGUUUGGAUAUUUAAUGCAGUUUGGAGGAAUCUAUGGAAGACCUUUUUCUUAAAGUUUUAAAGCAGAAAUUCCUCAACAGUUUUGCUGGCAUGUGGAUAGUAAAUCACCUGAAGAUGGGAGCAAGUGUCGAUUCGUAGGGCGUAAGCAUAUACAAACCGGAAAAUGCAGCACAAAAUUAAUUAGACUUCAAAUUAAUCAUGUUUAAUUAUUACUAGUAUUUAAUCGCGAAUCUAGCCUACUCGUGCUUAGGGAAUUAAAUACAAAAAACAUCCUAUGCUCACACUGGUUCUUUUUUCUUUUUUUUUUCGUAGUGUUUGUUGGUAUUCUUGUAAAUAGCCACUCUAUUCCCCUCAUUCAUUUCAAUCUCUCUUACUAAAACCCGUGUCAAAAGUAAAGUGGCAUAUUUUUGGUGGACGGAGGGAGUAGUAUUUAAUCGCGAAUCUAGCCUACUCGUGCUUAGGGAAUUAAAUACAAAAAACAUCCUAUGCUCACACUGGUUCUUUUU